rfam:Tupaia chinensis contig173170, whole genome shotgun sequence.
CAAAAGGCCCUUUUCAGGGCCACUCACGAAUUCUGAGGAAGCGCUG